GUGCUCACUUCGAUAGCACAUAUAUUAAAUUGGAACAAUACAGAGAAGAUUAGCAUGGUCCCUGCACAAGGAUGGCACACAAAUUCAUGAAGCAGUCUAUAUUUUU
ensembl:snRNA U6 U6 spliceosomal RNA